GAUGAACGCUAGCUACAGGCUUAACACAUGCAAGUCGAGGGGUAACGAGAGGAAAGCUUGCUUUCCUUGUCGACGACCGGCGCACGGGUGAGUAACGCGUAUCCAACCUGCCCCCAACUAGGGAAUAACCUUGCGAAAGUAAGACUAAUACCCUAUAAUUUCCUCAGAUGACAUCUGACGAGGAAUAAAGAUUUAUCGGUUGUGGAUGGGGAUGCGUCUGAUUAGCUUGUUGGCGGGGUAACGGCCCACCAAGGCAACGAUCAGUAGGGGUUCUGAGAGGAAGGUCCCCCACAGUGGAACGGAGACACGGUCCAAACUCCUACGGGAGGCAGCAGUGAGGAAUAUUGGUCAAUGGGCGGAAGCCUGAACCAGCCAAGUAGCGUGCAGGAUGACGGCCCUAUGGGUUGUAAACUGCUUUUAUACAGGAAUAAAGUUAGCCACGUGUGGUUAUUUGUAGGUACUGUAUGAAUAAGGACCGGCUAAUUCCGUGCCAGCCGCCGCCGUAA
rnacentral:rRNA from 1 species